CUCACUCCUUCCCUCAGGAAACCUGUUCGAAACCUGUUCGACUGUCUUGCGGGUCGGGACAGCCACUCAUUGGAAUGACCUUAUAGGCACAGAUUGUCUGAAAGGAGGCCAUUAGCAAAAGCUGAAGGAGCUAGUUUUUGUGGGAUUUGGAGGCACCGGAUGGCUCUUGGUCACAGAAUGAAUAGGAACACUGCCUUACUCAGUUCCUAGAGGACCCUGGAACUUGGAUUCCUUGAACUGCUAUGAUAGAAGCCUUGGGAUUAAAAGGACCCGUGGAAAAGGUGAAGUUGCUUGGAGAACUGCCCAGUUGAAGAUGGUGUCAUUCCUCCACAAGUAUCCGUGUCUCUCCCUUUGGAGCGGCUACUCCAUACUGCCAUGCAUGCAGGCUGUAUGCCAGGCCUGGACACCAGUGAGCCGCAUGCAGGGAUCGCUAUGAAGAGAAACUUCUUCUAAAGAAGAUGCUGACAGC